AACGAGAGGGGCCAUCACAGAGAUGCCCUCUCUGGGUUCCUUUAAAUGUUACUAGGACCCCAACGCGUGCAACAACACACUAAAGGGGUGGGCUGCCUAAAAAAGCCCGAGAGCUGCUGGUUCAACCCACACUCUCACAAGCCCCACAUCGGUAUUUUUAGGCUAAAAUCUAUCAGCCCUUGUACGUAACGAUUGCGACUACGCAUGCCUAAGUGCGCAA
rnacentral:rRNA from 1 species